rnacentral:rRNA from 1 species
GGGUUGUGAGGUUAAGCGACUAAGCGUACACGGUGGAUGCCCUGGCAGUCAGAGGCGAUGAAGGACGUGCUAAUCUGCGAUAAGCGUCGGUAAGGUGAUAUGAACCGUUAUAACCGGCGAUUUCCGAAUGGGGAAACCCAGUGUGUUUCGACACACUAUCAUUAACUGAAUCCAUAGGUUAAUGAGGCGAACCGGGGGAACUGAAACAUCUAAGUACCCCGAGGAAAAGAAAUCAACCGAGAUUCCCCCAGUAGCGGCGAGCGAACGGGGAGCAGCCCAGAGCCUGAAUCAGUGUGUGUGUUAGUGGAAGCGUCUGGAAAGGCGCGCGAUACAGGGUGACAGCCCCGUACACAAAAAUGCACAUGCUGUGAGCUCGAUGAGUAGGGCGGGACACGUGGUAUCCUGUCUGAAUAUGGGGGGACCAUCCUCCAAGGCUAAAUACUCCUGACUGACCGAUAGUGAACCAGUACCGUGAGGGAAAGGCGAAAAGAACCCCGGCGAGGGGAGUGAAAAAGAACCUGAAACCGUGUACGUACAAGCAGUGGGAGCACGCUUAGGCGUGUGACUGCGUACCUUUUGUAUAAUGGGUCAGCGACUUAUAUUCUGUAGCAAGGUUAACCGAAUAGGGGAGCCGAAGGGAAACCGAGUCUUAACUGGGCGUUAAGUUGCAGGGUAUAGACCCGAAACCCGGUGAUCUAGCCAUGGGCAGGUUGAAGGUUGGGUAACACUAACUGGAGGACCGAACCGACUAAUGUUGAAAAAUUAGCGGAUGACUUGUGGCUGGGGGUGAAAGGCCAAUCAAACCGGGAGAUAGCUGGUUCUCCCCGAAAGCUAUUUAGGUAGCGCCUCGUGAAUUCAUCUCCGGGGGUAGAGCACUGUUUCGGCAAGGGGGUCAUCCCGACUUACCAACCCGAUGCAAACUGCGAAUACCGGAGAAUGUUAUCACGGGAGACACACGGCGGGUGCUAACGUCCGUCGUGAAGAGGGAAACAACCCAGACCGCCAGCUAAGGUCCCAAAGUCAUGGUUAAGUGGGAAACGAUGUGGGAAGGCCCAGACAGCCAGGAUGUUGGCUUAGAAGCAGCCAUCAUUUAAAGAAAGCGUAAUAGCUCACUGGUCGAGUCGGCCUGCGCGGAAGAUGUAACGGGGCUAAACCAUGCACCGAAGCUGCGGCAGCGACACUCUNNNNNNNNNNNNNNNNNNNNNNNNNNNNNNNNNNNNNNNNNNNNNNNNNNNNNNNNNNNNNNNNNNNNNNNNNNNNNNNNNNNNNNNNNNNNNGUGUUGUUGGGUAGGGGAGCGUUCUGUAAGCCUGUGAAGGUGUGCUGUGAGGCAUGCUGGAGGUAUCAGAAGUGCGAAUGCUGACAUAAGUAACGAUAAAGCGGGUGAAAAGCCCGCUCGCCGGAAGACCAAGGGUUCCUGUCCAACGUUAAUCGGGGCAGGGUGAGUCGACCCCUAAGGCGAGGCCGAAAGGCGUAGUCGAUGGGAAACAGGUUAAUAUUCCUGUACUUGGUGUUACUGCGAAGGGGGGACGGAGAAGGCUAUGUUGGCCGGGCGACGGUUGUCCCGGUUUAAGCGUGUAGGCUGGUUUUCCAGGCAAAUCCGGAAAAUCAAGGCUGAGGCGUGAUGACGAGGCACUACGGUGCUGAAGCAACAAAUGCCCUGCUUCCAGGAAAAGCCUCUAAGCAUCAGGUAACAUCAAAUCGUACCCCAAACCGACACAGGUGGUCAGGUAGAGAAUACCAAGGCGCUUGAGAGAACUCGGGUGAAGGAACUAGGCAAAAUGGUGCCGUAACUUCGGGAGAAGGCACGCUGAUAUGUAGGUGAAGCGACUUGCUCGUGGAGCUGAAAUCAGUCGAAGAUACCAGCUGGCUGCAACUGUUUAUUAAAAACACAGCACUGUGCAAACACGAAAGUGGACGUAUACGGUGUGACGCCUGCCCGGUGCCGGAAGGUUAAUUGAUGGGGUUAGCGCAAGCGAAGCUCUUGAUCGAAGCCCCGGUAAACGGCGGCCGUAACUAUAACGGUCCUAAGGUAGCGAAAUUCCUUGUCGGGUAAGUUCCGACCUGCACGAAUGGCGUAAUGAUGGCCAGGCUGUCUCCACCCGAGACUCAGUGAAAUUGAACUCGCUGUGAAGAUGCAGUGUACCCGCGGCAAGACGGAAAGACCCCGUGAACCUUUACUAUAGCUUGACACUGAACAUUGAGCCUUGAUGUGUAGGAUAGGUGGGAGGCUUUGAAGUGUGGACGCCAGUCUGCAUGGAGCCGACCUUGAAAUACCACCCUUUAAUGUUUGAUGUUCUAACGUUGACCCGUAAUCCGGGUUGCGGACAGUGUCUGGUGGGUAGUUUGACUGGGGCGGUCUCCUCCUAAAGAGUAACGGAGGAGCACGAAGGUUGGCUAAUCCUGGUCGGACAUCAGGAGGUUAGUGCAAUGGCAUAAGCCAGCUUGACUGCGAGCGUGACGGCGCGAGCAGGUGCGAAAGCAGGUCAUAGUGAUCCGGUGGUUCUGAAUGGAAGGGCCAUCGCUCAACGGAUAAAAGGUACUCCGGGGAUAACAGGCUGAUACCGCCCAAGAGUUCAUAUCGACGGCGGUGUUUGGCACCUCGAUGUCGGCUCAUCACAUCCUGGGGCUGAAGUAGGUCCCAAGGGUAUGGCUGUUCGCCAUUUAAAGUGGUACGCGAGCUGGGUUUAGAACGUCGUGAGACAGUUCGGUCCCUAUCUGCCGUGGGCGCUGGAGAACUGAGGGGGGCUGCUCCUAGUACGAGAGGACCGGAGUGGACGCAUCACUGGUGUUCGGGUUGUCAUGCCAAUGGCACUGCCCGGUAGCUAAAUGCGGAAGAGAUAAGUGCUGAAAGCAUCUAAGCACGAAACUUGCCCCGAGAUGAGUUCUCCCUGACUCCUUGAGAGUCCUGAAGGAACGUUGAAGACGACGACGUUGAUAGGCCGGGUGUGUAAGCGCAGCGAUGCGUUGAGCUAACCGGUACUAAUGAACCGUGAGGCUUAACCUUACAACGCCGAAG